GUUUGGUUAAGUUAGAAAGGGCGCACGGUGGAUGCCUUGACACUAGGAGUCGAUGAAGGACGGGACUAACGCCGAUAUGCUUCGGGGAGCUGUAAGUAAGCUUUGAUCCGAAGAUUUCCGAAUGGGGAAACCCACCAUACGUAAUGGUAUGGUAUCCUUAUCUGAAUACAUAGGGUAAGGAAGACAGACCCAGGGAACUGAAACAUCUAAGUACCUGGAGGAAGAGAAAGCAAAUGCGAUUUCCUGAGUAGCGGCGAGCGAAACGGAACAUAGCCCAAACCAAGAGGCUUGCCUCUUGGGGUUGUAGGACAUUCUAUACGGAGUUACAAAGGAACGAGGUAGACGAAGCGACCUGGAAAGGUCCGUCGUAGAGGGUAACAACCCCGUAGUCGAAACUUCGUUCUCUCUUGAAUGUAUCCUGAGUACGGCGGAACACGUGAAAUUCCGUCGGAAUCUGGGAGGACCAUCUCCCAAGGCUAAAUACUCCCUAGUGAUCGAUAGUGAACCAGUACCGUGAGGGAAAGGUGAAAAGCACCCCGGAAGGGGAGUGAAAGAGAUCCUGAAACCGUGUGCCUACAAAUAGUCAGAGCCCGUUAACGGGUGAUGGCGUGCCUUUUGUAGAAUGAACCGGCGAGUUACGAUCCCGUGCGAGGUUAAGCUGAAGAGGCGGAGCCGCAGCGAAAGCGAGUCUGAAUAGGGCGUUUAGUACGUGGUCGUAGACCCGAAACCAGGUGAUCUACCCAUGUCCAGGGUGAAGUUCAGGUAACACUGAAUGGAGGCCCGAACCCACGCACGUUGAAAAGUGCGGGGAUGAGGUGUGGGUAGCGGAGAAAUUCCAAUCGAACCUGGAGAUAGCUGGUUCUCCCCGAAAUAGCUUUAGGGCUAGCCUUAAGUGUAAGAGUCUUGGAGGUAGAGCACUGAUUGGACUAGGGGUCCUCAUCGGAUUACCGAAUUCAGUCAAACUCCGAAUGCCAAUGACUUAUCCUUAGGAGUCAGACUGCGAGUGAUAAGAUCCGUAGUCAAAAGGGAAACAGCCCAGACCGCCAGCUAAGGUCCCAAAGUGUGUAUUAAGUGGAAAAGGAUGUGGAGUUGCUUAGACAACUAGGAUGUUGGCUUAGAAGCAGCCACCAUUUAAAGAGUGCGUAAUAGCUCACUAGUCGAGUGACUCUGCGCCGAAAAUGUACCGGGGCUAAAUACACCACCGAAGCUGCGGAUUGAUACCGAAUGGUAUCAGUGGUAGGGGAGCGUUCUAAGGACAGUGAAGUCAGA
rnacentral:rRNA from 1 species